GACGAACGCUGGCGGCGUGCCUAAUACAUGCAAGUAGAACGCAGUUGCGAACGGGUGAGUAACGCGUAGGUAACUGCCUCAUAGCGGGGGAUAACUAUUGGAAAAGAUAGCUAAUACCGCAUACUGUGAGAUGGACCUGCGUUGGAUUAGCUAGUUGGUGAGGUAAAGGCCCACCUAGGCGACGAUCCCUAGCUGGGUUGAGAGGAAGGCCCGCCAAAACGGAACUGGGAAACGGCCCAGACUCCUAAGGGGGGCAGCAGUAGGGAAACUUCGGCAAUGGACGGAAGUCUGACCGAGCAACGGCGCGUGAGUGAAGAAGGUUUUCGGAUCGUAAAGCUCUGUUGUGAGAGGAGCGUUAACUAACGAGAAAGGGACGGCUAACUACGUGCCAGCAGCCGCGGUAAUUC
rnacentral:rRNA from 1 species